UACGGAGGGAGCUAGCGUUGUUCGGAAUUACUGGGCGUAAAGCGCACGUAGGCGGCUUUUUAAGUCAGGGGUGAAAUCCCGGGGCUCAACCCCGGAACUGCCCUUGAAACUGGAGAGCUAGAAUCUUGGAGAGGCGAGUGGAAUUCCGAGUGUAGAGGUGAAAUUCGUAGAUAUUCGGAAGAACACCAGUGGCGAAGGCGACUCGCUGGACAAGUAUUGACGCUGGGGUGCGAAAGCAUGGGGAGCGAACAGG
rnacentral:rRNA from 1 species